GACGAACGCUGGCGGCGUGCUUAACACAUGCAAGUCGAACGGUGAAGCGCCUUCCUUUUUGGUGGGUGUGGAUGAGUGGCGAACGGGUGAGUAACACGUGAGUAACCUGCCCCCUUCUUCUGGAUAACCGCAUGAAAGUGUGGCUAAUACGGGAUAUUCUGGGUCUGUCGCAUGAUGGGUCUGGGAAAGAUAUUGUUUCGGUGGGGGAUGGGCUCGCGGCCUAUCAGCUUGUUGGUGGGGUGAUGGCCUACCAAGGCGGUGACGGGUAGCCGGCCUGAGAGGGUGGACGGUCACACUAGGACUGAGACACGGCCAAGACUCCGACGGGAGGCAGCAGUGGGGAAUAUUGCACAGUGGGCGCAAGCCUGAUGCAGCGACGCCGCGUGAGGGAUGGAGGCCUUCGGGUUGUGAACCUCUUUCGCCAGUGAAGCAGGCCUGCCUAGUAUGUGGGUGGGUUGACGGUAGCUGGAUAAGAAGCGCCGGCUAACUACGUG
rnacentral:rRNA from 1 species